rnacentral:lncRNA from 1 species
AAUUCCCCAUUGUCUGCCACUGACAUGUUUUUUCUCUUACAGACAAGUUGGCAGUCUCCAUAGAUUACUCAACAUGUCUGCUGCAACACACCUUCUAAAACCAUGUUUGAAAGUUAAGUGGAGCUCUCCAGGCAUCUCCUGAUCAUCAUCAGACAUCAAUAACAACAAUCAAACAUGUCAGUUUCUUGGAGGCACAAGUGCUUGCUCUUCACUCUUCUUGCUUUCAUUGUUCUCUCAGAAUCAUCAAGAUUGCCUAAGGAAUACUGGGAACAAAUGCUUCCCAAGAAGUUCCCAACUCCAUCCUCAUCUCCCUCUAAAGGUACCAAUUCCGUAACAACAUCAACACCGAAAGCAGUUAAAACCGAUAUAAGCCUUCCUUCAUCCGACGGCAAGGUCUAGUCGCCAUUGAAGAGCUCAAGUUUCAACUUGAGACUGCACCGAUCCGAACUGAGCACAUAGAGUUUUGGCAACUAAUCUUCUGCAAUUUAAAUGUAUCAUAGUGCUCGUGGACCAGAUCACAUAUUCAAGUAGAUUUGUUCGACUUGGCCUUAAAGGUAUAUAGUGAGUUAACUGUGUAGAUUGAAGAAUGAGGAUGAAUUCGCUGUAUAACUAAUAGAUCCACUGAUUUAGAUUCAUUAACUUAGCCUUCAUAUCAUGCAGGAUAAAUAAAUUUUUUACAGCUAAAAGUAAAUUUUUUGUUCUUACUGUAAUACUUAUCUGGAGCAUUUCCAUGAUAUAAUUUACUCAUACUUAGCUAAGAAAAGGGAAAUUUUUUUCCUUC